rnacentral:rRNA from 1 species
CUACGGGGCGCACCAGUGGGGAAUAUUGGACAAUGGGGGCAACCCUGAUCCAGCCAUCCCGCGUGUGCGAUGAAGGCCUUCGGGUUGUAAAGCACUUUUGGCAGGAAAGAAACGGCUCUGGCUAAUACCUGGGGCAACUGACGGUACCUGCAGAAUAAGCACCGGCUAACUACGUGCCAGCAGCCGCGGUAAUACGUAGGGUGCAAGCGUUAAUCGGAAUUACUGGGCGUAAAGCGUGGGCAGGCGGUUCGGAAAGAAAGGUGUGAAAUCCCAGGGCUUAACCUGGGAACUGCACUUUUAACUACCGGGCUAGAGUGUGUCAGAGGGGGGUGGAAUUCCGCGUGUAGCAGUGAAAUGCGUAGAGAUGCGGAGGAACACCGAUGGCGAAGGCAGCCCCCUGGGACAACACUGACGCUCAUGCACGAAAGCGUGGGGAGCAAACAGGAUUAGAUACCCCAGUAGUC